rnacentral:misc_RNA from 1 species
GAUGAAGAACGCAGCGAAAUGCGAUAAGUAAUGUGAAUUGCAGAAUUCAGUGAAUCAUCGAAUCUUUGAACGCACAUUGCGCCCUUUGGUAUUCCAAAGGGCAUGCCUGUUCGAGCAUCAUUUGUACCCUCAAGCUUUGCUUGGUGUUGGGCGUCUUGUCUCUAGCUUUGCUGGAGACUCGCCUUAAAGUAAUUGGCAGCCGGCCUACUGGUUUCGGAGCGCAGCACAAGUCGCACUCUCUAUCAGCAAAGGUCUAGCAUCCAUUAAGCCUUUUUUUCAACUUUUGACCUCGGAUCAGGUAGGGAUACCCGCUGAACUUAAGCAUAUCAAUAAGCGGAGGA